CACACCCCCUAUCUUGGCAGUGAGCGAAGAAAACGUUUUUGCAAACUGGAAGGCAAACUGGGGGCAAGCAUUGCAGAGAUACGCGUCUCCACACCACGCAGGGCGCUUGGUGCGCAGCAGAGUGGUUCAGUCACACACACACACGUAAUCUUUCUCAGGUCUUCUCUGUUGUAAGUUGUCUACAGAUAUUGAGAGAGGUUCCCUGUGCUGUACAGUAAGUCCUUGUUGUUUAUCUAUUCUGGCUGCAGGGUGCUGGGUGCUGGGUGCUAGCUGCUGGCUGCAGGGUGCUAGGUACUGGGUGCAGUGUGCUGAGUGAUGGCUGCAGGGUGCUGAGUACUGGCUACUGAGUCCUGGGUGAUGGCUUCAGGGUGCUGGGUGCUGGGGUACUAGGUGAUGGCUGCAGGGUGCUGGGUGCUGAAUGCUGGGUGCUGGGUGCUGAGUGCUGAUUGCUGGCUGCAGGGUGCUGGGUGAUGAGUGCUGGGUACUGGGGUGCUGUGUGCUGAGUUGCUGGGUGCCGGCUGCAGGGUGCUGGGUGCUGGCAGCAGCAGAAACAGUCGAAGCAGCUGCUCCCGAGGUGCCCCUCUCCUUGCCUGGAGCUGCAGGCCCUCAGAGCCGGUGGGGGUGAGGUGGGACGUGCCCACUGGGCUGAGCGUGGGUCAGGUGUGUGUCCUGAAGCAGGAGCCAGAGAAGGAGGCAAGGAGGCCCUGCCUUGGGUCAGUGUGCCCAGCACCACGGGGAACAGAAGCCUCCCCAGCGAGGAAGCUCGACGGGACCGGAGGCUGGAGGCAGACAGACAGCACGCAGACCCUCAUUUCAGCGAGAGUCCGCGCCACCGGCCUCGCGUCCGUCCCCUCCAGGGCCUCGGUGCGACCUGUGGGCCUGCCUGUCUCUGUCUCGCCCAACCCUGAGCCUGUGCACUGGAACUUCCCCAUCCGAAGAGCCAGAGGAAACAGAAGGUCCACGGUGAUUACCGCGUUACCACCACGCCCGCCCAGGCCCUCGAGUCCCGGGCUGUUUGUUCCAAGAGCGAUGUUGGAACCAGUUUGCGAGAAGUGACGUCUGAACGAGCUUGCCCAACCCUGCGUUCUGCAGAUAAGGACAGGGGCUCCGAACGCGUCCUGGGUCACAGGGUCGGAACCGCCCUGCACCCCCCAAUGCUACACGCUUCUGUCACCUCAAAGCUUGGAUCACAUUUUAACUGUGCAUUUCCCAUCAUGUUUUAUGUAUCUGCAAACAUUUUACACUUGAUUUGAUCAUUUCUGACUUUUCUUUUUUUGCUCACAACUUCUAAGAUGCUUUUUCUUUAUCUUCGGCUUUCUUUGGUUUCUCUCUGAUUUGUCUAAACGUGGACUUCAUUUUCCCGCAGGGCCCUGCACCUUCCAAGGAAAGCGGACCUUGGUGAUCAGCUUGGGUGUUUAGCCGAUGAGAUGGCCCAGCCAGGGGUGGAAGGCAUGGCUUGAGCAGACAGUGAGGGGGGAGAGAGGGGAAACUGAGGCAGGAACUGUCGGGGGAAAGGCGUGCCAAGGGUUCCCAGGAGGCUCCAGAAGCUGGAAGAGGCUUCAGAGGGAGCAGACCCUGCUGACCCCUUUCUUUUAGGCGUCCAGCCUCGACCAGGCCCACAAGUCUUUGCCCGACUCUCUGCCCCAGUGUGUUCCUGCCGGUUCUCCGUCCUGGGCUCCAGUCUCCACGUCUGCCGGGUUGGCUCUGUCUGCAAA